UUAAUCUUUUCCUAAGAUGACUUCUAUUGUUGUCACUGAAAAGCAAUUCCUUUGAGGAACAGGAUUCUCUCUGUAAAGAAAUGGUUAUAAUUCACAAAGAAAAUUUAAUGUUCACCAAUAGCUUUCCAGUUUCUCUAAACUUCCUAGACCAAAACCUCUGGACUCUCUUUCUGCAACUCUUUCAGAAGGAUUUCACUAAGAGCUUGGGCUAUCUUCCUUCCAAUUCCUGCUAUUCCUAUUGCUGUUGGUUGAAAUUCUCUGCUGCUAAGUGUCGGCAGUCUGACUCACUCUAGGGACGGAGAACAGGGGCCUUCACAUCGUGAAGUUCAAGGCUUCUGUAUGAGAAGGUCAGACGGUGCAACUACAACUGGUUAAAUAAAGGCCCAAGAAAGAAGGCAAAAAUCUUAUUCUGGAGAAGACUCCCAGGUUAUAGGAUUUACCUGAUUGACUCAGUCUACUGAGAAGGCCCCAAAUCUACUUUUCCAAUCAGCUGCGGACCUGGGAGUAGAAAGAAGCUUUAGAGCUGCAGUCUGGAGAGAUUCUGUCCACCACUAAAACCACGGCCCCUGAAUGACAUGAUCUCUGACCAGUCAGUUUACUCUUCCUCCUAUGGGGAGAAGGGUAUUAGGAUUUCAGCAAUCGGUGGAACCAACUGUAGCCUAACAUCCAGAAAGAAGACCAAAGGAAUGGCCUCACUACAGGGGACAUAUUGGCCAUGACAUAAACUACCUUGGGUUGUUGACCCAGUUUAUUUUCAAAGUCAUGACUCUUGGCUGGAAAAGUCUGCAAAGGAGAUCCCUAAAUAUAGUUCAUCAUCUUGGGGUUAUAUCCAUAAAAAGAGUAACAUUUUUUAUUUUUAAGUUAAAAGAGAAACAAUUACCACCUGAAAUCCAAAUAUAGUUUCGUGGCAGGAAGAAACAUACCAUUUAGCUGCAUUGCAUAUACAAUUACAUUCCCUGUGAACAUUAUUUCAACCAUCUCUAUUCUCACAUCAUUCCUUGCCAUACAACAGCCACAGGAAGCAUAGGAGCUCUCCCACAAAAUAAAAUAAAAUAAAAUAAAAAAAUAAAAUAUAUAA